GGGUAGAAAAAAAAAGUCUAUUAAUAACAUUUGGUCCUUAAGCUUGCUUUUAUUCCAUUAUUAUUAAGAGAGUAAGAACCCCCAACCCCCCAUCAAAGGACCGAAACUAUGGUUCCUAUUUUCCGCAUCUGAUCUAUUGAUACUGUCCUUUCCUAAUAGCAUAGUCGACGUCUAUUUCCAUCCACAAUCCUCCGUUCAAUAAACAACAUUUGCUGACAAUUAUUUUGACAGUUUGCGAGAAAACAACACUAAUGACAACAAGCUAAUUAAUUGACAAAGAUAAACAAAAAUAUAGAAGAAAAUUUAAAAGACUACGAUUUAUUUUGAAGAUAUAAAAUCCACAACAAUUGCAAUCUCACCAUAUAAAUGUACAAAUUUAUAUGUAAAACUCUAUAUAUCUGACCAUGAAUUCAUAUGUAAUUGUCAAAUAAAGCAAACUAAAAACCCCACAUAUAUUUAUAUAGGAUAUCUUAUUGAAACCCUCUUUAACAAAGGUAUAUGAUCCCAUUAAGUAGUAUUAUAUAAGACAUAAAACAAAUUAACAAAAGGCCUUCACAGAUCAAUACUCACUAGCUUCAUCAGUGACCAGCCCCAGGACUUGGAAUAUCACCAUGUUUCCUAUAGAAAUCAUAAUCAUAGCCAUAAUCAUCACUAGGCGGAGGUGGAGAUUCAUUGCCCUGAUCACUGUAAUCCAUCACGGUGACUUUGACAUGGCAUGCAAUGCCAAGUGAUGUACAACUGCUCUCCUUGCUUCUUAAUCUGCUUGUAGCUGCAAUCUCUUGGCACAUCAAAGAUAGAAGAAGAGGUAGCACAAUGAGCAUAAAAAUAAGCUUAGAUGCUCUCUUAGUCAUUUUAUGAUAUAAUAUAAGAAAGGUGCAUAAGAUUAGAGUAUAACUUCAAAAGUUGUUAAAAGCAUUGCCCAUUUGAAUAAUUUAUAUGACACUAUGAUAAUAGCAUGCUCAAUCUUGUUCAAAAUGUAGGGAACGUACUAUAAUUAGUUUCCUAUAAAGUAAGGCCCACUAUAUGACUAUGCUAUGUAAACGAAUUGUUUAUUGUCAAAAGAAAUCUUC
rnacentral:lncRNA from 1 species